AAGAAUCGAGAGCAAUAUUUAUAUGAUAAUCCAGCGAUGAACUCUUCUCCAGGCUUAAUGACUUUGAUAUUCUUAAUGCUUGGACAAGCCUAUGGGGAGUCAGUGACCCAGAUGGAAGGCCAAGUGACCCUCUCAGAAGGGGCUUCCCUGACUCUGAACUGUACUUACUCAACCACCGGGUACCCCACUCUUUUCUGGUAUGUUCAAUAUCCUGGAGAAGGUCCACAGCUCCUCCUGAGAGCCACGAAGGCCAACAAGAAGGAACCCAGCAAAAGUUUUGAAGCCACAUACAAUACAGAAACCACCUCCCUCCACUUGGAGAAAGCCUCAGUCCAAGAGUCAGACUCAGCUAUGUACUACUGUGCUAUGAGUGACACAGUGACAGGAACUGCAGGGGGAGCUGAGCACAAACUCUGA